rnacentral:rRNA from 1 species
CCUACGGGAGACAGCAGUGGGGAAUCUUCCGCAAUGGGCGAAAGCCUGACGGAGCAACGCCGCGUGAUCGAAUGAAGGCCUUCGGGUUGUAAAGCUCUGUUGACAGGGACGAAUAAGCAAUGCGAAUAGUUUUGUGUAUGUCGCUACCUGAUUAGAAAGCUCUGGCUAACUACGUGCCAGCAGCCUCGGGAAGACGUAGGGAGCAAGCGUUGUCCGGAAUUACUGGGCGUAAAGGGCGCGCAGGUGGGCGCUUAAGCCAAGUGGGAAAACUGCGGGCUCAAACUGGAGACUGCACUUGAAACUGGGUGUCUUGAGGGCAGGAGAAGAAAGCGGAAUUCCUAGUGUAGCGGUGAAAUGCGUAGAUAUUAGGAAGAACACCAGUGGCGAAGGCAACUUUCUGGACUGUAACUGACGCUGAGGCGCGAAAGCGUGGGUAGCGAACGGGAUUAGAUACCCUUGUAGUC